rnacentral:misc_RNA from 1 species
GAUGGGAGAAACUUAUCCAACAGGUAGCUAUCUGCAUUUUUGGAACAUUCUACUUAUCAUCUUCUUAUUUACUUUACCCUUUUGCUGAAACCCCUUUUGCUGAAAGCCUGAAACCUGGUUUACUUGAAAAUGUUAUCCAAUGCAUAGUGCUUUUCAUUUCCAAUCACUAAUGUACCUUGUCACUCAACCUUACCUUCCCAUCCCUGUAUUGAAUUUUUCAGAUUCUUGGUUAUUUUUUACAUUUGAAUAAUGGCUUUUGUAAGAAGAAUGGUUUUGUAUUGAUUAUUAUAAAGAGAGUGCACUGAACUUGAUUUUAAUUAUAUAUUAUUGUUUAGAUAUGAAAGGUCUUAGCCAUUGCACUUUCACAUUCAACAUAAA